CCCUGUGUAUUCCCAUCUUGGAGCACAGAUAGGCUACAGAAGGAAACGUGGAAGUUUGGAUGAAGAAAAGCCAAGCCGAGAAAAUGAAUAACAUUUGGCUAUUGUGUCUUGUGGUGUUGAUCAUGACUUUACCAUUUUCAAUUCAGGGGAGCUCUGAUCAAUCAAAGUCCUCAGAUGGUAGUCGAUCAUCCUCCUCACAAUCAUCAUCAUCAUCAUCAUCAGGCAGCUCAACUGCUACGAAUUCCAGCGCUGUGUCCUUGGCUCCUGUGCCCAUUGCACUGUGCAUACUGAUCCCAACAGCCACCUUGGGUUUCCUUUACGGCACACCUUAAACUAAAUGGAGAAAGCUAUAAUAAAGGGCAAAGAAGGACAGAGCAAACCUUUCUGAAGUUCUUUAAAACCGAGGAGAAACACACAGGAAUAACACUACCAUGCAUAACUCACAUUCACACUGGAUUUUAAAAUAAUGAAAGUUAAUAAAAGGAUUUGUUUAGUUGCAUUUGUUUCAAAGUUGUGAGAUCUCUGCUGCUGCAAACCAAAAGUCUUCUGCAAAACCACAGCAGUUUGUGAUGGUUUUAGAUAAAGCUUGUUUCCUCUGCCAACUUCUUUUAAACUUUAUAGAUGCUCUGAAUAUAAUUUUAAUUUGUGUUAAUAUCAACUUAAAUGUGUUUCUUUUAAGAAUUAAAAUCUGCCUGACAUGUAUAUCUGUUUAUAUUCUGCCAUGUGAAAUAUGUGCACAUAUUUUGCUGUGUAAACUUAAUCAAUGUAAUCCAUCUCCUCUUGUGAUUUAUAUUGUGACGAUCCAUUCAUUUUAAUAAUUAUAUAUAUGAAUAUAUGCACAAUUAAAGUAAAUUAAAUGUAUAUGUUUGCUCAUCAUCUUUUAUUUCGACUUUUGUGUGUCUUUUAAACAUGCUAUAAUCUACAUGCAAUAGUUGUGUUGUAGUAGAUCUGUAGUGGGUUAGAGAUAAUAAAGACAUUUAGAGAUCCUGUUAGAAAGAGGUGUGGGCAGAUUCAUCAGUUUUGGGGAAGCUGUGAUGGGCGGGUGUUUUAUCAACACAUCACCUAUAAAUCCUUGAGAAUGAAAGCCCCCGUUUAUUUGCUUCACUGAACACAGACUUUUAGUUUAACAGAAACUUCUCUAAAAGAAGACACGACAACUAUAAAAAUGAAUAAAAUUUGGAUCUUGUGCCUUGGGAUGCUGAUCAUGACUUUACCAUUUUCAUCUUCAGAGGAAAAACCUGCAACUGCUGCACCUAAACCUGAUGUAAAACCUGCAGAUUCUAAGACCAACGCUGCAGGAUUGAGUCCUAUGUCCACCCCACUGUGUCUUCUGAUACCAGCAAGCCUGCUCUUCAUCCUCCAUGGCAAAUAUUAAACCGGAUGGAGAAAGUUUGCCGUCGAUCGAGAAGAGAGUGAUAACGAGAACUGUUUCAAAAUUCUACAAAAAAUGAAAACACGAUCUGAGCUCAUCCUUGGCUCUUUUAAAACAAGUAAUACAAAUUGAAUUUGAAGUUAAUAAUUGUAGAGUUUCAGGAAAUCGCCAAAUGUCCUCCAGUGCAGAUAUUUUAUCAUUUCACGUUGUGUAAUAACAUUGUUUGUACACCUUAUAAUAUGAAUCUUAUUAGUGUCAUCUUUCUCCUUUUUUUUAUUAUAAACAAACAAACAUUGUUGUGAUCCAGACUGAAUCAAUAUGUACAAUUAAAGGGGAUAAUCGUA